GCCUAGAUCAGACAGGUAAGAGUAGGGUAAAGGUGGAUAGAGAGGGUGUGGUCGCAUCGUUAGAAGGACGUAAAACGAAGUCUCGGUCUGCAGAACUAUCAGUGCCUCAGGUUCGCAUUAACUCAAAGGACCACAUACAGCUUGAUAAAAACGUAUCCCCUGCCUGCAUGUACCAUUCAACACGCCCUUCAACAGGCCCUGCUACCCACAAUGAUUUGUGAACAUGUGAAGACCCCGCACUAAAAGUCCAUGUUCUCCUGGAUCCAUGUCA